CCCGACCGUUGCUGCUACCUUGAUGUGGUGUUUGGGAUCGCCUAUGGUGAUGACCCAACCUAGCUAUAUUGGCUGGAACACAUAUCUCUUUAGGCCCUACCAUACAAGGUAGGUCGUUUGGAGAACGGUAGGACCAAAGGCAGC
rnacentral:ribozyme from 1 species